rnacentral:rRNA from 1 species
UACGGAGGAUCCAAGCGUUAUCCGGAAUCAUUGGGUUUAAAGGGUUCGUAGGCGGAUUAGUAAGUCAGUGGUGAAAGUUUGCGGCUUAACCGUAAAAUUGCCGUUGAUACUGCUAGUCUUGAAUAUUUGUGAAGUAGCUAGAAUAUGUAGUGUAGCGGUGAAAUGCUUAGAUAUUACAUGGAAUACCGAUUGCGAAGGCAGGUUACUAACAAAUGAUUGACGCUGAUGAACGAAAGCGUGGGUAGCGAACAGG